GACGAACGCUGGCGGCGUGCUUAACACAUGCAAGUCGAGCGGUAAGGCCCUUUCGGGGGUACACGAGCGGCGAACGGGUGAGUAACACGUGAGCAACCUGCCCCUCUCUUUGGAAUAAGCGUUGGAAACGACGUCUAAUGCCGAAUAUGACCCCCUGUCGCAUGGUGGGGGGUGGAAAGCUCUGGCGGAGAAGGAUGGGCUCGCGGCCUAUCAGCUUGUUGGUGCGGGUAAUGGCCCACCAAGGCGACGACGGGUAGCCGGCCUGAGAGGGUGACCGGCCACACUGGGACUGAGACACGGCCCAGACUCCUACGGGAGGCAGCAGUGGGGAAUAUUGGACAAUGGGCGAAAGCCUGAUCCAGCAACGCCGCGUGAGGGAUGACGGCCUUCGGGUUGUAAACCUCUUUCAGCAGGGACGAAGCGAGAGUGACGGUACCUGCAGAAGAAGGACCAGCCAACUACGUGCCAGCCGCCGCGGUAAGAC
rnacentral:rRNA from 1 species